GCUUGGGAUGUGGCUCAGUGGUAGAGUGCUUGCCUAGAAUGUGUGAGGCACUGGGUUUGGUCCCCAGCAAGCAAGCA
rnacentral:tRNA from 1 species